rnacentral:rRNA from 1 species
UGCUUGUCUCAAAGAUUAAGCCAUGCAUGUCUAAGUAUAAGCAAUCAUACUGUGAAACUGCGAAUGGCUCAUUAAAUCAGUUAUCGUUUAUUUGAUAUUACCUUUCUACACGGAUACCUGUGGCAAUUCUAGAGCUAAUACGUGUUCAUUCAAAUUUCUGCCCUAUCAACUUUCGAUGGUAGGGUCUUGGCCUACCAUGGUUUCGACGGGUAACGGGGGAUUAGGGUUCGACUCCGGAGAGGGAGCCUGAGAAACGGCUACCACAUCCAAGGAAGGCAGCAGGCGCGCAAAUUACCCAAUUCCGACACGGAGAGGUAGUGACAAGAAAUAUUGAUGCGGGGCCCUUCGGGUCUUGUAAUCGGAAUGAGAACAAUUUAAAACACUUAACGAGGAACAAUUGGAGGGCAAGUCUGGUGCCAGCAGCCGCGGUAAUUCCAGCUCCAAUAGCGUAUAUUAAAAUUGUUGCAGUUAAAACGCUCGUAGUUGAACUUUGGAUCUGGCUGGCCGGUCCGCCUCACCGCGUGCACUGGUCCGGCCGGGUCUUUCCUCCUGGGGAUCCGCAUGCCCUUCACUGGGCGUGUUGGGGAACCAGGACUUUUACUUUGAAAAAAUUAGAGUGUUCAAAGCAGGCCUUUGCCCGGAUACAUUAGCAUGGAAUAAUAGAAUAGGACGUGCGGUUCUAUUUUGUUGGUUUCUAGAAUCGCCGUAAUGAUUAAUAGGGACGGUUGGGGGUUCUGGUAUUCAAUUGUCAGAGGUGAAAUUCUUGGAUUUAUUGAAGACCAACUGCUGCGAAAGCGUUAACCAAAGACGUUUUCAUUAAUCAGUGAACGAAAGUUAGGGGAUCGAAGACGAUCAGAUACCGUCGUAGUCUUAACCAUAAACUGUGCCAACUGGGGAUCGGACGAUGUUAUCAUCUUGACUCGUUCGGCACCCUACGAGAAAUCAAAGUGAGGUUCUGGGGGGAGUAUGGUCGCAAGGCUGAAACUUAAAGAAAUUGACGGAAGGGCACCACCAGGCGUGGAGCCUGCGGCU